UAUAUCUGGUAGACACUUUAACCCUUUGUACUAGGAUGACAUAGCAUACAUACCUUGUCCAUUGUGAUUUUUUUUUUUUUUUUUUUUUUUGCAAAGGUGGCAUACUUGUUCACCAGUUAUCAUUUUAAUGUUAUAAAGAUGUCAUUAAUAACUGUAUCAACCCUCAGAGCGUGACUAAAAUGAAACAGACAUAAUUUUAUUAAAUCUACAUAGUGACUGCAUACAAAGGGUUAAUACUUUGCAAAAUGACUUUGUAUUACUGAAGAUAAAAAGAUAUAAAAUGAGUGUUUUUCGUAUAAAGUUUUCAUGAGUUUGACAUGUUUUUCUUAGGUGGUUUUGAUAUGCACACUUGGCAACACAUCUGCUUAGACUGACACUGGGAUACAGAAGAUACCAUAAAUGUUGCAGCUAUCUUUUUCUGAAUGAAUUACUUCAUAAGAUUACCAUGGCCUUGAAAGGAAAUCAGUUAUCAAGUGGAGUUUUUACAAUGUGGGAUCCCCUAUUUUCGACGUGGAUGGUCCCAAAUCUUUGGGGAGUAGAGGGCAAGACUCCAGUGACUUUGGAUGGAUGGCUGCAUGGCUUUCAAUAAUGCAAGUAAGCGAGUAUUCACAUGCAAAAUGCUCCAUUGUUCAACAUGGAUGAACUGUGGUUCUUUUCCUUUGAUAGAGCAAGACAGUGAAUACAGACUAAGUUGAAAUAAGCAGAUAAUCCAGUUCUGUUUGAAACUUCAAGAUGGCCACUAAUCAUGAUGAAAGUGGAGCUCCCAAGUACUGCUUAUGCAUACUGUUUCUGAAGUAAUAAUUGUAAGAUCUGUUUUGGGAGAAAUAAAUAUUUAGCAGUUA